AUUGAACGCUGGCGGCAUGCUUUACACAUGCAAGUCGAGCGGUAACAGGCCGCAAGGUGCUGACGAGUGGCGCACGGGUGAGUAAUGCAUCGGAACGUGCCCAGCCGUGGGGGAUAACUACUCGAAAGAGUAGCUAAUACCGCAUACGAUCUAUGGAUGAAAGCGGGGGACCGUAAGGCCUCGCGCGAUUGGAGCGGCCGAUGUCAGAUUAGGUAGUUGGUGGGGUAAAGGCUCACCAAGCCAACGAUCUGUAGCUGGUCUGAGAGGACGACCAGCCACACUGGGACUGAGACACGGCCCAGACUCCUACGGGAGGCAGCAGUGGGGAAUUUUGGACAAUGGGCGCAAGCCUGAUCCAGCAAUGCCGCGUGCAGGAAGAAGGCCUUCGGGUUGUAAACUGCUUUUGUACGGAACGAAACGGCUCUGGUUAAUACCCGGGGCUAAUGACGGUACCGGAAGAAUAAGCACCGGCUAACUACGUG
rnacentral:rRNA from 1 species